UUUUUUUCUGUUUCCAUCAAUAACCAAAGGAUGACUUUGGCGUCCAUUAUUUGGUGACAGAGGAAUGUUAAACAAAAUGUUUAGCCUCUUUGAAAGUCAGGACCCCUGCUUGAAUCUUUGCUUCAGUGAAACCAUACUAAGGUUGAUUAAGCACCACUGUCACAUUCAGUAAGAAAAACAGAAACCAUCAGAAAAGUCCUUAGUCACAGUUACACAACAAAAUGUUUCAUAAUGUUUCUGGUUUCAUCUUUUGUUGUUCUUUCUAACUGGAACAGAUCCCGUCUCCCUCACUGGGCCGGAGGGGGAUAUUGAGUUUGUUCUGUGGGUCAAAGGUCACUGAGGGGAGGGGCGAGAUGUGGAUCCUGCAUCUCCUGGUUGUUUCUUCAGAGAUAUUCCAUGAGGUCAGAGAUGAGGUGAUGUUACACAACCGGGAGACAGCUGAGCCAGAGGAGCUCCUGCUGACCUGCUGAUGGACGCUCAAAAUCUGAACUGUAAGCAAGAGACGAAUCAUGAAUGAUCUGAAUUUAUAUGAUGCUAUUUUGAAACAUGUAAUUCACCAAAAACAGGGAAAAUGUGUCUUUUUCUAUUUCAGAGGUACGCUUCAGGCACCAAAACUGCAAUUCUCUAAGUGACCACUGGAGAGUGUCUCUGUAAGGGACUCAAUCUACAUAGAUCUACAUUAAAAAAGGCCCUCUAAAUGCCCUUUCAGUGGAUAAAAUGUCAACAAAGUGCUCUCUGGAUUUCUUUUCAUGGAUAAAUGUAAGUAAAGUGUCCUCUAGCUACCCUUCAAGAGGAUAACAUAUAAACGAAGUGCACAUUGGAUGCCCUACAGUAAAGUAAAUUGAAACAGAACCUUCUGAAUGUGGUUUACAGUGGAUAAAAUUGAGACACUGUCCCUUGAAUACCCUCCCAAAGGAAAACUGUAAACAAAGUGCCUGUUAGAUGCCUUUUCAAUGGUUAAAUGUAAAUAAAGUGCCUGUUAGAUGCUCCCUCCAGUGGAUAAAGUGUAUAUAAAGUACCCUCUGGAUGUCUUCCCAGUGCUUCAAUUAGAAAGAAAUGCCCUCAAGUGCCCUCUUGUAAAUAAAAUACCUUCUGGGUACCCCACAUUUGAUAAAUGUUGAGUCCCCUUUGGAUGCCCUUGUAGUGGAUUAAUGUAAACCACAUUCCCCCAGAUGUCUUUGCAGUUGUUAAAAGUUUAAAAAAAGUUUUACUGAGUGCUUUUACAACAGAUAAAAUAUAAACAGUGUCUUAAUGGUGCUUCUAAACAUAAACAAAGCACCCUCUCUGUUUGAGUUUUAUAUCUAUUUUUAGUUUUAUCAUCUCUGUUUGGUUGUGUUGAAAAGCUUAUAUCUCAAGUUUAAUACUUUGGUCUGUUAUCAUCCACAGCAGGACUCUUUUUUACAUUUUUUGACCCUGGUCCCUCAAACAGCAUGAGUUCACCACAUCACCCUCGUGUUCACGUGGUGUUUCUUUCUACCCUUCGGCCCUUCAUGGUUCAGUGAGAGUCUGAGUGACAGGCUGCGGGAUGGUUUUUUGGUCCUUGUGGAGAGGAAACCCUGAGCUCUAGGAGGAGCCGGUUCCCACACCCAGAAGAAGAGACGCUCUAACACAAACAGUGCGGAACAUUCAGGAAGGAAAGGGCUCUCUUUGGGCCGUUAUCAGAUCUACAAGACCCUCGACCCCGUCCGUCACCCACAGUUGUCUGACAGCUGAGGCCUCGCCCUCCUCUUUCUCUGCGCCUACCUCCCAAUCACUGCCUCUUUUAUCUUUGUCUUCCUCACCUUCUUCUCUCUCUGUUUUCCUAUUUUAGUCUUCCUCCUUAGUCUCCCUCUCUCUCUCCUUUUUUUACCCUUACCUAUUCAACAUCUUAUUGUGUCUUUCUCCUUCUCCAUCCCUUUCAUCUUCCCCUUCUUCUCAAUUUUGAACAAAGCAAAAGAAGUGUAUUAUGAGCAAAGAUCCAUGAUUAACUUUUUAAAACUCUAAGGUUACUUGAGUGUCAUCACUCAUAACCAACACACAUGAGAAGUGCAACAAUCUUUACUUUGACUAACCUGAUUGUGACUUUUGGUGAGGCCAUAACUCGGCGACCUGAGGUCAAAACCCAGAUUGUAAACAUGCGCUUCAUAUCCGUACAAUUACAUGCAGUCUUAGGGAGCUUAGGACAUGCACAUGCUGUUUGCAUUAGCAUAACGAAUGCUGCAGCUGCCACUGAUGUCAGCUUUGUAUUCCUCUUGGAGAUGCAUGCAGUGUCUGGGGUUUAAAAUCUACUGUUGUGCAGAAAAACCAAAGAUGCAUGCACUUUGUGGAGUUUAAACUCAAACUCCCAAAGUCUAUCCAGUCUGUAAAUCUUCUGCAACGAUGAUGUCUUGGAAUUGCCUUAGUGCAACAGACAGUAAGGUUGCAAUUAAGUUUCUUUCUUUGUGCAUGCAUUUCCCUUUCUGCCGAAAUGUAAACCUCGCUGAUUGAUGACAUAUGUUGUGUCUCCCCCAGCUGUGUGUCAGUGUAAGCGUCUCUCUGCUUGUUGUGCCGUAUUUCACAUUCACACCCAGUCUGAACCAGCAGGGAGCUGUUAAACCCUCUCUGCACCAUUGUCUCGUGUACGUCAUCACAGCGGCCUGUUCGCUCCUUCCCAGCGCAGAGGAAUGUCCACGGCUGAUAAAUCCACAGAUCCCAUCACAACAAGCCCCACCCCCUCAACAUGCCUGUUUACACUCAGACUCAGGGGGAUAAAGGGGGCGCUGGUUCCCUGGUUGACAGGGAUACAGGGCGGUGAUCUGUUGCUUUAUGAUUGCAGUUAAUCUGGUUUUUAUCACCGGGAUAGUGUUUUCACAUUACUGCAACAAGUGAAAUACUGCAAAAACCCAAAUGUUAAAGCUCUGACCUGCACGUCACAUGCACAAGAGAGUCGUUUGUCAAGUUUAGAUUCCCAACAAUCGGAUACAAAAGACAAUAAACAUUAAAGACGACUAAAGCUGACCAUUUUUCUUGUCCGCUGCCAGGAAAACAACAGUUUCAUGCAUGUAGGAGCUGUGUGAAACAAAUCAAAAGUGACCAAACUGGAACUCCUGAAAAGUGCAAAUGCUGUUGCAUUAACCAGGAAUCCUGGGAAAAUGGUGAAUAAUCAAAAUUACCAGGUAGAUUCGCUUUUACAAUAUGAACUCAAAAUCUGAUUUGGAUUGCAAUAAGAUCCAAUAACAAAAAUCCAAUCAGAAAUAGGAAAAAUCACACAUUUGUUUGAAUUACAAUUAAGGGCUGAUACAGAUACUGAAAUGGAAAAACACCAACACCUGAAGGAUGAGUUUAGAAUACUAAAGAUUGACAGAUUGACCACUACUCUUUGAAUGUGAAUCUGGUCAUGAUAUGUUCUGUUCAUUUAUUUUCUCCCUGGUUUUGUUAUUUGUGUGUAUUUUCUUUGUGUUUUUUCUAGUGUUUCUGUUCCCUAUUGUUCCUGUGAUCUUGUCUUAUGAGUUUUCAGUUUGUGUUCGACCCUGCUUCCAUCAUGUUCUCAGUGUUAUUCUUUAGAUCAAUUCUCAGGCCCCGUUUAUACGUACCUGGUUAUUUUUUAAAACUGCAUCAUUUGCACCCUUCCAUUAGACGCAAACAGAGAAUUCGCCCCUGAAAACGAUGCUUUUUAAAAACUCCGGCCAGAGUGGAGAUUUUGGAAAACUCUGUUUGCAUGUUUGCAUGUAAAUAGAGAAGAACUGAGAUUUAG
rnacentral:lncRNA from 1 species